AGUGAACGCUGGCGGUAGGCCUAACACAUGCAAGUCGAACGGCAGCACAGUAAGAGCUUGCUCUUACGGGUGGCGAGUGGCGGACGGGUGAGGAAUACAUCGGAAUCUACUUUUUCGUGGGGGAUAACGUAGGGAAACUUACGCUAAUACCGCAUACGACCUACGGGUGAAAGCAGGGGAUCUUCGGACCCUGCGCGAUUGAAUGAGCCGAUGUCGGAUUAGCUAGUUGGCGGGGUAAAGGCCCGCCAAGGCGACGAUCCGUAGCUGGUCUGAGAGGAUGAUCAGCCACACUGGAACUGAGACACGGUCCAGACUCCUACGGGAGGCAGCAGUGGGGAAUAUUGGACAAUGGGCGCAAGCCUGAUCCAGCCAUACCGCGUGGGUGAAGAAGGCCUUCGGGUUGUAAAGCCCUUUUGUUGGGAAAGAAAAGCAGCAGGUUAAUACCCCGCUGUUCUGACGGUACCCAAAGAAUAAGCACCGGCUAACUUCGUG
rnacentral:rRNA from 1 species